UACAUUCACUACUGUAAGUCGCUCUGGAUAAGAGCGUCUGCUAAAAAUGACUAAAA
rfam:Salmo salar isolate Sally breed double haploid chromosome ssa06, whole genome shotgun sequence.